rnacentral:rRNA from 1 species
CAGUAGCCACGGGAAUACGGAGGGUGCAAGCGUUAAUCGGAAUUACUGGGCGUAAAGCGUGCGUAGGCGGUUCGUUAAGUCUGUUGUGAAAGCCCCGGGCUCAACCUGGGAAUGGCAAUGGAUACUGGCGAGCUAGAGUGUGUCAGAGGAUAGUGGAAUUCCCGGUGUAGCGGUGAAAUGCGUAGAGAUCGGGAGGAACAUCAGUGGCGAAGGCGGCCAUCUGGGACAACACUGACGCUGAGGCACGAAAGCGUGGGGAGCAGACAGGAUUAGAUACCCCCGUAGUCCCUGUCUCUUAUAC